rnacentral:rRNA from 1 species
AUGGGGAUAACGACUGGAAACGGUCGCUAAUACCCGAUGUGCCGAGAGGUGAAAGAUUAUAUCGCCUGAAGAUGAGCUCGCGUCCGAUUAGCUAGUUGGUGGAGUAAUGGUUCACCAAGGCGACGAUCGGUAGCUGGUCUGAGAGGAUGACCAGUCACACUGGGACUGAGACACGGCCCAGACUCCUACGGGAGGCAGCAGUGGGGAAUUUUCCGCAAUGGGCGCAAGCCUGACGGAGCAAGACCGCGUGGGGGAAGAAGGUUUGUGGAUUGUAAACCCCUUUUAUCAGGGAAGAAGCUCUGACGGUACCUGAUGAAUCAGCCUCGGCUAACUCCGUGCCAGCAGCCGCGGUAAUACGGAGGAGGCAAGCGUUAUCCGGAAUUAUUGGGCGUAAAGCGUCCGUAGGUGGCUAUACGUGUCAGUUGUUAAAGAAUGGGGCUUAACUCCAUAUGGGCGAUUGAAACUGUAUAGCUAGAGAGUGGUAGGGGCAAGGGGAAUUCCCAGUGUAGCGGUGAAAUGCGUAGAUAUUGGGAAGAACACCGGUGGCGAAAGCGCCUUGCUGGGCCAUUACUGACACUGAGGGACGAAAGCUAGGGGAGCGAAUGGGAUUAGAUACCCCAGUAGUCA